GAGCCACCACAGCCUUGAUAGAGAAUACCCAGGAAGAGAGGAAAGGGGGACAGGGCUAGUCAAAGAGGCAACCUAAGGGCUUGAUGGAAUAGCAGAGGAAACCCACCAACUAGCUUGAGUGAAUGGCCCAGGACACCAGCCUUGGGGAAACCCUGGAGAAAUGGGAAGACGGCUUGAGUAACAGGAGAGGUCGGCAAGGCUCAUGCAGCAGGCUCAGCAGUGGCCUAACACAUCAGGAAGAGAGGCCAAGAAGGCAACAAGAGGCUGUCAGGGAAAGACUGGGCAAGGCAGGGCUGCAUGCUCCCAGAAUCUUUGUACCUGUGCCUGGGUCUCACAGAGGUGAACACUGUCUGUUGGUCCUGAUAAAGAUGGUCACAAAGAAUGCCCCUGAGUCUGAGCAGAGAGACAGGGAUAUUUCCUGAGUAGAUGGAGCAGAAGUUAGAGCCUACAAGAAGGUCUGCUGGGAUGACCUCCAAGAAUAGAGGUGGAAAAACCCUGAAGAGCUCCCUCAUGUUGGAAUCCUUGACUAGAAGAUAAGCCACAGGGCUUGCAAAAAUGCAUCUUGGAAUAUACCAUGCUGACGAUGGUGUUGGGAUUGUACCAACGACCUGAGCAAGCGGCAGAAAACCAGGAAAGUCAAAGUGAAAGUCAUCAGUCCUGUCCAACUCUUUGAGACCCCAUGGACUAUAUAGUCCAUGGAAUUCUCCAGGUCAGAAUACUGGAGUGGGUAGAUGUUCCCUUCUCCAGGGGAUCUUCCCAACCCAGGGAUCAAACCCAGGUGUCCUGCAUUGCAAGUGGAUGCUUUACCAGCUGAGCCACCAGGGAAGCCCAACGUGUGAAAAUGUUAGUCAUUCAGUCAUGUCUGACUCUGUGACCCCAUGGACUAUAACCCACCAGGCUCCUCUGUCCAUGGAAUUCUCCAGAUAAGAAUACUGGAGUGGGUAGCCAUUCCCUUCUCCAGGAGAUCUUCCUGGUCCAGGGAUUGAACUCAGGUCUCCUGCAUUACAGGCAGAUUCUUUAUCAUCUGAGGCAAAGUGACCUUUAAACCAUGAGUUUCCAUUAAAGGUGAAAACUGCUGCCUAAACC
ensembl:lncRNA